AAAUACCCAAUCGUAGUUCCAAUUUCAAAUAUCUCGGAGCAGAAAGACAGAGAGAAAAAAAACACAGAGCGAAACGGUGUCGUCUUACCCACGUGGAUCGCGCCGGUAAUAAUUCUGUUACAACCGGCUAUAUCAAGUAACCCUUCAAGACAGAAAAUAAAUAAAAGAAAAAAAGUGGGACGGUACGGUCCAUUGGGAUUCACUUUCUACCGUCCGUCUUCGACUAUAAAUAUAACCUUUCUUUCACUUGCUCAUUUUUUCCUUUCCCCUACUAAUUUUUUUUCUGCCAAUUUUUUCUUCUUACAACUUUCCGGCGAAAUCGCCGGCAAACCACCGUCGUUUACGCCGGGAGAUCUCACUGCGCGCUACUUUCUCAAUCUUCCUUCAGUUGAAAGAUCUAUUUCACUUAAAGUCAUUUGA